AUCACUUCUCAGCCUUUUGGCUAAGAUCAAGUGUAGUAUCUGUUAUUAGUAAAAUCAAGGAUCGAGGCAGGACUAGAAAUCCUAC
rnacentral:snRNA from 1 species